rnacentral:rRNA from 1 species
AUGGUUCCUUUAAAAUGGACGCCAGGCUAUUGGGUGGAGGAGUUACUUUCCGUGUUAUGGAGUAUCAACACCACACUGAACAUAUCUACGGGUUACACGCCCUUCUUCAUGGUUUACGGAGCAGAGGCGGUUCUCCCUAGUGACAUCCGUCAUGACUCGCCCCGUGUGGCGGCUUACGUUGAAGCUGAUAAUGAGAAAGCACGUCAGGACUCACUGGACCUGUUAGAUGAGGAGCGCGAUCUCGCAGCAGCAUGUUCGACGAUUUAUCAACAAGAUCUGCGACGUUAUCACAGCCGUCGGGUUAAGACCAUAACUUUUCAAGAAGGUGAUUUGGUGCUCCGGCUCAUCCAGGAUCAGACUGAUAUGCACAAGUUAUCCGCACCUUGGGAAGGGCCUUUUGUGGUCAGCAAAAAUUUGCACAAUGGAUCAUACUACCUUAUCGAUGUUCGAGAGCACAUAGACUCACGUAAAUCGGAGGAGGAGACCCAACAGCCGUGGAAUAUAGCUCAUCUUCGGCCCUACUAUACUUGA